AAAGAGAUUUCCGGCAUCAUUUUCCACCUUUCCGUUAUUUGUCUACAGCCAAUUAGUUGGGCCAUGGGUGUGGCGACGUCCGUUCCUCUGUGGAAUCUCCUUGGGCUUUCCGGAGCUGACAGGACCCGUCCCUCCUGAACGAGGAGAAAGGCCUUAGCCUUUGGAAGGAGACUUCAUCCAUCAUUUGCUACCUUUCCUUUAUCUGUCUCCCUCAUUUCGUUGUACCACGGGUGCCGGCCACCGCCCUUCCUCCGUGGAUUCUCCUUGGGACCCCCGGAGCUGAAAGGACCCGGCCCUCCUGAAUGAGGAGAAAGACUUUAGCCCAGUUGGUUGUGCAGUGCAGAGCCGGCCCUUCUGACAAGAGCAGAAUGUCUUCAGACCAAUUAGUUGUGUCAUGGGUGCGGCAAUGUCUAUUCCUCCAUGGAUUCUCCUUGGGUUUUCCUGAGCUGAAAGGACCCGUCCCUACUGAGGGAGGAGGAAGACCUUAGUGUGCCGCCCACCGCCAUUUCUCCAUGGAUUCUCCUUGAUGUUUCCGGAGCUGAAAGGACACGUCCCUCCUGAACGAGGAGAAAGAUUUUAGCCUUUCGAAGGAGAUGUCAGCCAUCAUUUGCUACCUUUCUUUUACCUGUCUCCCACGAUUUGUGGUACCACGGAUGCUGCCCACCUCCAUUCCUCCGUGGAUUCUCCUUGGGAUUUCCUGGGAUGAAAGGAGCCAUCCUUCCUGAAAAGGAGAAAGAC